GCGGCGGACAGGGCCGACUCGCCGGGGCGCACCGAGAGGAAGUCGGUGCGCACGAGGCCGAGGGAGGACACGGAGCGCGCGGCGGCAUGGUAGAAGAGGCCGAUGGAGUUGAGGAAGUAGCGGACGAGGUCCUCCUGCGUGAGCCAGCAGAAGUCGGCGGCGGCGGCGCCGCCGAUGAGCUGCUUCUUGCGGCCACCAGCGCGGAGCGGGACCGCGAGCACCUGCGCUCCGCUCAGGAUCGCAUCAAGCGCCUCCAAGAUGCUGCAAAAAAGAAACACCACAUUGGUCAGCUGGAAGUGAACUGAAUCUAUGGCGUAAUUAAAAAUGGGCAAGACGCGCAUGACGAGGACGAGAUCCCAAAAGAAUAGCCACUUUUUCAAGAAAGAUUCGAUUAAAACGCGCAAUUUUCGAACCACAUGCGAAGAUCCUGCUUCUAUUCGAAGUAGUAUCCAUCAAACGGCACAAUUUCCGGGCAACAAGUAGACGAAAAGAUAUCCUAAAUUGUGAAGCUGGAAGCGACUGAAAUCUUGCAAGGAGACAGGGGUGCAAGUCGCAAUCUCCGGGGAACCCACACCGAACACACCACAAGAUUGUCUCCAGUGAGUCGGACGAUUUGACCCGAAUGCGGCUUUUUCUUCACCGCAUGACAGCCACUUGUUCGAAUGGCGUCGCAUAUUCCAACUUUCCAAGCAGGUAACCAGAGUUCGUUUGGAGGGGGGGAAAUUGACGCUAACAGUAACAGGUACAUCAAUUUAUCUUACGAAGGUUGCCUUCUCGUAAUAUAUUUCAAGAAGCAGUUCUAUUUCGCAAUUUUUGUAGGGACUUUGACCAAAAAAUCGUGUCUCCUUUGUGACGGGUUUUUAGCAAACUUCCAAUCUUGAACGAGUCCCACGCGUCGUUUGCAGAGAUCCAAGAGAGGGGGGGAGGGGUUGAGCCCUUACCUAGAGCGGGGGUCGACGCGGCGGACCUCUCCGCCGCCGUCCUUGGGCAGGAGCGCGGAGACCGGCUUGGCGAGCGCCGCGGCGGGGCGGGCGAGCGCCUCGGGCUCGGUGCAGAGGAAGCAGAGCAGGUCCGCGAGGCCGACCCGGCCGGCGACGGCGCGCGCUGGUCCGGUCACCGCGACGCAGGCUGCGGCGCCAGAGCGGGCCACCCUCCGGAGCGCGGCGGCUAGUUCGCCGGCGGCGGCGGAGAGCGGGAGCGACCUCACGGCCGGCUUGCCGAUGCACAGGUCCGACACCUCAUUGGCCAGGAGGCUCACUGCCAUGCACUCGCGGGGCGGGCCCUGGGCGGUUUCGAGGAUCGAAACCUCUCUCAAAGAUUUUUUUCAGGGAGGAGGGGAGGGGCGGCGAGGAACCG
rnacentral:lncRNA from 1 species